rnacentral:rRNA from 1 species
GCCCAGACUCCUACGGGAGGCAGCAGUGAGGAAUAUUGGUCAAUGGGCUAAGGCCUGAACCAGCCAAGUCGCGUGAGGGAAGACGGUCCUAUGGAUUGUAAACCUCUUUUGUCGGGGAGCAACGAGGCCACGUGUGGCCGAAGUGAGAGUACCCGAAGAAAAAGCAUCGGCUAACUCCGUGCCAGCAGCCGCGGUAAUACGGAGGAUGCGAGCGUUAUCCGGAUUUAUUGGGUUUAAAGGGUGCGUAGGCGGAACAUUAAGUCAGCGGUAAAAUGGCGGGGCUCAACCCCGUCGAGCCGUUGAAACUGGCAGACUUGAGUUGGCGAGAAGUACGCGGAAUGCGCGGUGUAGCGGUGAAAUGCAUAGAUAUCGCGCAGAACUCCGAUUGCGAAGGCAGCGUACCGGCGCCAGACUGACGCUGAGGCACGAAAGCGUGGGGAUCGAACAGGAUUAGAUACCCCAGUA